AGUGAACGCUGGCGGUAGGCCUAACACAUGCAAGUCGAACGGCGGCACAGUAAGAGCUUGCUCUUACGGGUGGCGAGUGGCGGACGGGUGAGGAAUACAUCGGAAUCUACUUUUUCGUGGGGGAUAACGUAGGGAAACUUACGCUAAUACCGCAUACGACCUACGGGUGAAAGCAGUGGAUCUUCGGACCUUGCGCGAUUGAAUGAGCCGAUGUCGGAUUAGCUAGUUGGCGGGGUAAAGGCCCACCAAGGCGACGAUCCGUAGCUGGUCUGAGAGGAUGAUCAGCCACACUGGAACUGAGACACGGUCCAGACUCCUACGGGAGGCAGCAGUGGGGAAUAUUGGACAAUGGGCGCAAGCCUGAUCCAGCCAUACCGCGUGGGUGAAGAAGGCCUUCGGGUUGUAAAGCCCUUUUGUUGGGAAAGAAAAGCAGCAGGUUAAUACCCCGCUGUUCUGACGGUACCCAAAGAAUAAGCACCGGCUAACUUCGUG
rnacentral:rRNA from 1 species